UUCACACAAUCCAUGUAAUACAAUAGGGUAAAAAGAUACAUAGUUGGCUUACAAUCGCCACUUCACACAAUUACAUGAAUAAAGCAUUACAACAUCCAAAUACAAUCAAGGUCCGACUACGGAACCAAAAUAAAAGAAGAACCCCAAAUGCGACAAGGUCCCCGAUCGACCCCAACUGGGCUCCACUACUGAUCAACUAGAACGAAACAACAUAAAGGACAAGAUCUUCAUCGAGCUCCUCCUGAGCUUGGUUGCGUCACCUGUACGGUAUCAUCGGCACCUGCAAACUGGUUUUGGAAGUAUCUGUGAGUCACGGGGACUCAGCAAUCUCACACCCUCGCGAUCAAGACUAUUUAAGCUUAUAGGAAGGGUAAAAGGUAUGAGGUGUAGCUGCAGCAAGCGACUAGCAUAUAUGGUGGCUAACAUACGCAAAUGAGAGUGAGAAGAGAAGGCAAAGCACGGUCGAGAAACUAUGAUCAAGAAGUGAUCCUAGAACAACCUAUGUCAAGCAUAACUCCAACACCGUGUUCACUUCCCGGACUCCGCCGGAAAGAGACCAUCACGGUUACACACGCGGUUGAUGUAUUUUAAUUAAGGUCAACUUUAGGUUUUCUACAACCGGACGUUAACAACUUCCCAUCUGCCCAUAACCACGGGCACGACUUUCGAAAGUUCAAAUCCCUACGGGGGUGUCCCAACUUAGCCCAUCACAAGCUCUCACGGUCAACGAAGGAUAUUCCUUCUCCCAAGACAUUCCGAUAAGACUCGGCAUCCAGGUUACAAGACAUUUCGACAAUGGUAAAACAGGUCCAGCAACACCGCCCGAAUGUGCCGACAAAUCCCGAUAGGAGCUGCACAUAUCUCGUUCUCAGGGCACACUCAGAUGAGACUAGCUACGAGUAAAACCAACCCUCAAGUUUCCCCGAGGUGGCCCCGCAGGCAGCUCAGUUCGGACCAACACUCAGAGGAGCACUGGCCCGAGGGGGGGUUAAAAUAAAGAUGACCCUCGAGAGAGAGACUCCCAAGGGAAAAGUAGGUGGUGGUGAGGCAAAUUGUAAAACCAAGGUUGGGCAUUGCUGGAGGAGUUUUAUUCAAGGCGAACUGUCAAGGGGUUCCCAUUAUAGCCUAACCGCGUAAGGAACACAAAAUCCGGGAACAUAACACCAGUAUGACGGAAACUAGGGCGGCAAGAGUUGAACAAAACACCAGGUGAGGGAGUCCUGGAUUAGGGGGUGUUCGGGUAGCCGGACUAUACCUUCAGCCAGACUCCUGGACUAUGAAGAUACAAGAUUGAAGACUUUGUCCCGUGUCUGGAUGGGACUUUCCUUGGCGUGGAAGGGAAGCUUGGCGAUGCGGAUAUUCAAGAUCUCCUACCAUUGUAACCGACUUUAUGUAACCCUAACCCUAUCUGGUGUCUAUAUAAACCGGAGGGUUGUAGUCCGUAGGCAAUCAACUCCAUACACAACAAUCAUACCAUAGGCUAGCUUCUAGGGUUUAGCCUCCUUGAUCUCGUGGUAGAUCUACUCUUGUACUACCCAUAUCAUCAAUAUUAAUCAAGCAGGAGUAGGGUAUUACCUCAAUCGAGAGGGCCCGAACCUGGGUAAAAAACAUCGUGUCCCUUGUCUCCUGUUACCAUCCGGCCUUGACGCACAGUUCGGGACCCCCUACCCGAGAUCCGCCGGUUUUGACACCGACAUUGGUGCUUUCAUUGAGAGCUCCUCUGUGUCGUCGCCUUUAGGCCUGAUGGCUCCUUUGAUCAUCAACAACGAUAUGGUCCAGGGUGAAACUUUUCUCCCGGGACAGAUCUUCGUCUUCGGCGGCUUCGCUCUGCGGGCCAAUUCACUCGGCCACCUGGAGCAGAUCGAAAGCUACGCCCCUGGCCAUCAGGUCAGGUUUGGAAGCCUAAACUACACGGCUGACAUCCACGGGGACUUGAUCUUCGAUGGAUUCGAGCCACAGCCAAGCACGCCGCACUGUCUCGAUGGGCACGAUAUAGCUCUGCCACCGAACAGCGCCUUGGAGGCCGCAUACGCAUCGGUUUCGACCAUUGAUUCGGAGCAUAUUGCGCCGAUCGAGGAUCAGCGGUUGGAUGCUGCCUCAGGGGCUGCGAUCUCAGAGGCGAUUGAGCCGAACUCCAGCCCCACACUCCGCAUGGCCCGUGACUCCGAGGAUCCGGACUCCUCCCCGGACUCCGAACCCCCCGCGCCCCUGCCAAUCGAAUCCGAUUGGGCGCCGAUAAUGGAGUUCACCUCCGCAGACAUCUUUCAGCAUUCGCCUUUUGGCGACAUCCUGAAUUCUCUUAAGUCUCUCUCUUUAUCAGGAGAGCCCUGGCCAGACUACGGUCAGCGAGGGUGGGAUACGGACGAUAAGGAAAUUCAAAGCCCACCCACCACCCACUUUGUAGCAACUGUCGACGAUCUAACCGACAUGCUUGACUUCAGCUCCGAAGACAUCGACGGCAUGGACGACGAUGUAGGAGACGAUCAGGAACCAGCACCUGUAGGGCGCUGGAAGGCCACCUCGUCAUAUGACAUAUAUAUGGUGGAUACUCCAAAAGAUGGAGAUGGAGAUGGCGAUGGAACAGUGGGGGAUGACGCCCCCAAGAAACAGCCGAAGCACCGGCAUCAGCGGCGCCGCUCUAAAUCCCGCCAAAGCAAAAAUGGUGAUUCCGGCACGGGAGAUAAUACUACCCCGGAUAACGCCGAAGAACACCCACCUCAGCAAGAUUCGGCAUAGGAAGAUGGAGAAGCCAACCCUCAUGAGAGAGCGGCAGACCGAGAGGUCGAGGAUGAUAACUAUACGCCUCCCUCCGAAGACGAGGCAAGCCUCGAUGACGACGAAUUCGUCAUACCAUCAGACCCCGCCGAACAAGAGUGUUUUAAACGCAGGCUUUUAGCCACAGCAGGCAGCCUCAAGAAAAAGCAGCAACAGCUUAAAGCUGCCCAAGAUUUGCUAGCUGACAGAUGGACUGAAGUCCUUACGGCCGAAGAGUAUGAACUCGAACGCCCCUCCAAGAGUUACCCGAAGCGCAUACCACUACCCCGAUCAGAGGAGGAAGCACCUACAUCACCAGCGCAUGACAUGGCAGACCGGCCACCUCGCGGCCACGACAGAGAGGCCUCUCGGCCCUCCACCCAAGCCAUGCCCCGACGCCGCUCAACAAAGGCACGAGAAAUUGCGCCCGACCUGCGAGACAUACUGGAGGAUAAGGCAAGACAAACAAGAUCGAUCUACGGAUCGCACAGGCGCCCUACGGCAUGUGACAAUGAUCUUCACUCCGGAUACAACAAAUCCGGCCGGGCCGAACACAACAGACAUAGCGAUUCCGAGCUACGUCGUGAUAUAGCCCAGUACAAAGGCGCCGCACACCCGCUAUGCUUCACGAAUGAAGUAAUGGAUCAUAAAAUCCCAGAGGGUUUCAAUCCCGUAAACAUCGAAUCAUACGAUGGCACAACAGAUCCGUCGGUAUGGAUCGAGGACUAUCUCCUUCACAUCCACAUGGCACGCGGCGAUGAUCUACACGCCAUCAAAUACCUCCCACUCAAACUUAAAGGACCAGCCCGGCAUUGGCUUAACAGCUUGCCAGCAGACUCAAUCGGUUCUUGGGAGGACCUGGAAGCCGCAUUCCUCGACAACUUCCAGGGCACUUACGUGCGACCGCCGGAUGCCGACGACUUAAGCCACAUAAUUCAGCAGCCAGAAGAAUCGGCCAGACAAUUCUGGACACGGUUCCUAACAAAGAAAAACCAGAUAGUUGACUAUCCGGACGCAGAGGCCCUAGCAGCCUUCAAGCAUAACAUCCGCGACGAGUGGCUUGCCCGGCACCUGGGACAGGAAAAGCCGAAAUCCAUGGCAGCCCUCACGACACUCAUGACCCGCUUUUGCGCGGGAGAAGACAGCUGGCUAGCUCACAGUAACAACUUAUCAAAGAACCCUAGUAAUUUGGAUACCAAGGACAAAAGUGGCAGGACAUGUCGGAAUAAGCAAAAACGCCGCGUUAACAGCGACAACAAUGAAGACACGGCAGUCAAUGCCGGAUUCAAAGGCUAUAAAUCCGAUCAGCGGAAAAAGCCAUUCAAAAAGAAUACUCAGGGCCCGUCCAGUUUGGACCGAAUAAUCAAUCGCUUGUGCCAGAUACAUGGCACCCCCGAAAGGCCAGCCAAUCACACUAACAGGGAUUGUUGGGUGUUCAAGCAGGCAUGCAAGUUAAGGGCCGGAAACAGAGACAAGGGGCUGCACAGCGACGACGAGGAGCCCAAGCCGCCGAGCAACAAUGGACAGAAGGGAUUUCCCCCACAAGUGCGGACGGUGAACAUGAUAUACGCAACCCACAUUCCCAAGCGGGAGCGGAAGCAUGCGCUACGGGACGUAUACGCGAUAGAGCCAGUCGCCCCAAAGUUCAACCCAUGGUCCUCCUGCCCGAUCACUUUUGAUCGAAGGGACCAUCCCACUAGCAUCCGUCAUGGAGGCUUCACCGCAUUGGUUCUCGACCCAAUCAUCGAUGAAUUUCAUCUCACAAGAGUCCUCAUGGACGGUGGCAGUAGCCUGAACCUGCUUUAUCAGGAUAUAGUGCGGAAAAUGGGCAUAGAUCCCUCAAGGAUUAAGCCCACAAGAACGACCUUUAAAGGCGUUAUACCAGGUGUAGAAGCCAACUGUACAGGCUCAGUAACACUUGACAUGGUCUUCGGAUCCCCGGACAAUUUCCGAAGCGAAGAGUUAAUCUUCGAUAUAGUCCCGUUUCGCAGUGGCUAUCACGCCCUGCUCGGACGAACCGCAUUUGCAAAGUUCAAUGCGGUGCCGCACUACACAUAUCUCAAGCUCAAGAUGCGAGGCCCUCGAGGAGUAAUUACGGUCAAUGGAAACACCGAAUGCUCCCUCCGUACGGAGGAGCAUACGGCGGCUCUCGCAGCGGAGGUACAAAGUAGCCUUCUCAGGCAAUUCUCCAGUCCGGCCAUUAAAAAGCCAGACACUGCCAAGCGCGCCCGGAGUAACCCACAGCAGGACCGCCUGGCACACUCUGAGCAAGCGUAGCAAUGCGGCCCCAACCCCAGCUUUUGCGACAUAGCGAAACCAGUACCUCGCGUACAUAACUACGCCCUUGAAAUACCAUGGGCACAGGGGAAGGGGCACAAUAACGGCACGCCCAGAAUACGGCUUAAAACGUACUAGGGGCUGCUGGAUUCUUUUUUUAAUUUUUUCUUACUUUCAGGACUCCAUACUUCGGACGACCUAUUCGGCAAUUCGACUGCCGCACAAACGAUGCAAGAUCCAGGGAGGCAGACAAGCCAUGCCGCACUAUGGAACUCCCAGGUGGUCUCUGUUACGAGUGGUAUACCUGUUUUAAAUACAAUUCCGCGGCCUGCCCCUGGUCAGGACAUACUGAAUAGUCCAAUCUUUUGCUUACCGCACUAUUUGUAUCGUUCGGCUUUGAUAAAUAGCCUCUAUAUAAACAAUGCAUAGCUUUUGUCUAUUUUCUGCAUUACUCUCUUUUAUAUAUGUUCGUUAAAUGACAUGUUGCACCCGUACACUGUGGUACGGCAAGUACGCCAGGGGCUUCAGUACCCUUUAAUAUGGUGUGAGAAGUCCGUACACUUUCACAAGUGCGGCACCCCGAACUUAUAGCACUAUAUGCAUCGGCUCCGAAUCAUGAUUUGGGUUAAUAGUUGGGUUUGCCCGGCUCCUAUGUUUUGGUGCCUUAUGUUCCGCUAUAUCGGCUAAGGUAGCACUAGGAGAACCACUGCAAUUGUGCCCCGGUUGAGCUGGGUUAAGCACCUCAGUGGAGAAAGCUAAAACUGACUGUCAUGAUGAGGCGAGAGACCGGUCGCUGUUCGAGAGGUUUUUUCGAGUCCCUAAAGACUUAUGCCGCUUCGAGCGAGGAGCCGGAUUUGUCCGGCCAAGGCGUGGAUAGCGCCCCGAACUCGGUCUUCCGAACUAGGGGCUUCGCCGAAAUUUAAAAUUAUAAAGUUCUAUGGCUAAGUGAGAGUGUUCAAGCAUUAUAGUCCGAUUGCCUGGUUCGUUGUGCUGAGCGCCUCCCUCGAAGGACCCAACUAUGGGAAAAAGAGCGCUCAGGUUUAUCCCGAACACCCCAGCACUAGUGGCAUGGGGGCAGAAGCCGACGACUGGCCAUCUCUCAAUUUUUUGAUAAACGGCCGCACAGAAAAUAAUAUUUUAAAUUCAACAAGCAUUGCUUAAGCGCCUAUGAACAAGUUUUCAGCGCACAGGAUAAAAACGAGCGAGUUUAUUCAAAAAAUACAUCCUUGGUACAUUCAUCCGCCACAAGGCGGGCACCCGCAAGAACAUCCUUGUAAUAGUUCUCGGGCUUGCGAUGCUCCUUCCCCGGCGGCGGCCCGUCCUUCACAAGCUUCUCACCGUCCAGCUUACCCCAGUGCACCUUUGCACGGGCAAGGGCCCGACGGGCACCUUCGAUGCAGACGGAGCGCUUGAUGACCUCGAGCCUUGGACAUGCCUCCACCAGCCGCCGUACCAGCCCGAAGUAGCUCCCAGGCAGGGCCUCUCCGGGCCACAGCCGAACUAUGAAGCCCUUCAUGGCCUGUUCGGCCGCCUUGUGGAUCUCGACCAGCUGUUUCAGCUGGUCGCUCAAGGGCACAGGGUGUCCGGCCUCAGCAUACUGAGACCAGAACACCUUCUCCGUCGAGCUGCCCUCUUCAGCUCGGUAGAAUGCGACGGCGUCGGAUACGCUGCGGGGAAGAUCUGCGAAUGCCCCUGGAGAACUCCGGAUUCGGGUAAGUAACAAGUAGUUUACUUUUAUAUUUCUGCUUUGCAUAAAGAAUGCCUUACCUGCUGCUAUCUUCUUAAUCUCCUCCAACUCUCGAAGGGCCUUUUGGGCUUCGGCCUUGGCAGACUUGGCAGUCUCAAGGGCCGCCGCGAGCUCGGACGCUUGGGUCUUUGACUCAAGCUCCAAACUCUCAUGUUUUUUCAUGAGAGCCCGAAGCUCUUGCUGCACCUCGCCGACCUGAGCCCCAAGUUUCUCUCGCUCGGUGCGCUCCGUGGCCGUUUUCUUUUCGGCCUCGGACAGCGCCUGCUUGAGGGUCGCCACCUCAGUUAUGGCCCCUAUAAUAAGCAGUGCAAUCCUGUUAUUUUUUGCAAUCACGCCUCUCUAUAGGCACUUUUUCUGUAAGGUAUUUCCUACCUUCUUUUUCCUCGAGCUGCCGCUUGGCAAGGCCGAGCUCUUGCUCGGUCCGUUUGAGGUCCUGUUUCAGGACACCCACCUCCGCAGUCAGUGCGGCGGUGGAUAGCAGCGAAGCCUGCACACACAUAUUGACUCUUUAUUGUUAGACUCCUGCGAAAUUUACUAGAUCCUCUAUUCGGCUUUUCUUUCCGAACGCCAAACAGAGCAUCAGGGGCUACUGUCUAUGCGGUUAUAUCUUUACAUAUUUUUACUUACCUCGAAGCCUGUUAGGAGGCUAGCGCAAGCUUCACUCAGUCCGCUCUUGGUGGACUGAACCUUCUGGAUCACCGUACUCAUAAUAGUACGGUGCUCCUCGUCGAUGGAGGCACCGUCAAGAACCUCGAGCAGAUUGUCCGGCACCUCCGGUUGGACGGAGGCCGCCGGCUCAGAAGGCUUGCUCCUUUUGGAAGGAGUUCGCCUACCGCGGUCUGGAACUAUUGAAGAUUCUGGCGCGGUGUCCGGCACAAAGCCGGACUUGGAGCCCUGGGGGGUCUUGUCCCCUUUACUCCUGGGGUUCGGGAGGUCGCCCUGCGGCUCCUCCAGGACCACCUCCUCCUGCCCCGGAGCUCGUUGCGACGCCACUUCGGCGUCGUCCGCGGUGCGGGGGGAGACACCGGGCGGAACUGAGUUCACAUCCGAUGAAUCCAGGGAGCCGCUCAACGACUCGUUGAGUUCGGCCCGGGGCGGGCUGCAUAAUUAUGUUCGACAUUAGGGAAAGUUGUGCAACAAAGGAACAUCAUGAGUUAUUCUGAUAUCCGAACUUACGAUUUUGCCGGACGCUUGGCCCUGUUUGGCCACUCCUCUUUGCCCUCUUCGGCAUUGGGGGCGUAGUCCGGCGGAGGGGUCUUCGUUUUCCUAGACCCCUCGGCCUCCCCCGUUGGGGCGGCCUUCCUCUUCUCUCCUCCCCCCGCUGGGGGGGGAGAGGUUUCUUCUUCCUCCUCCUCAUCUUCACGGGGGGAGUGCGUCUCGGACUCGUCGGACGACGAGUCCGACACCACCAUAUGUCGGGAACUCUUUCGAGUCCCCAUGGCCUUCUUCUUCUUGGCCUUCUUCUCCGGCACCACAUAAGGUGCCGGAACCAGCAGCUUCGCUAGUAGAGCGGGGGCUGGGUCUUCGGGCAAGGGAGCCAGACAGUUAAUCGAUCCGGACUUCGCCCGCCAAGCCUGUCAAAGGUAAGGGAGUUUAGAUCCCGCAUAGAGUCAAUCUAUGAAAAAACGUAACAUCCUGUAAAAGGUGAAAAUAGCUUACCUCGCUAGCGUGACGCUGCGAGCUAUAUCCGCGGUCCUCGGAAGCGGAUGUGGGAGCCUCGGCGCCUUUGGUUAGCACCUUCCAGACAUCUUCAUACGUCGUGUCGAAGAGCCUGUUAAGGGUUUGGUGCUGCGCCGGGUUGAACUCCCACAGAUUAAAGCCCCGUUGUUGACACGGGAGGAUCCGGCGGACGAGCAUAACCUGGACUACAUUGACGAGCUUGAUCGGCUUGCUCACCAGGGACUAGAUGCAUGUCUGCAGUCCGGUCACCUCUUUUUCGUCGCCCCAUGACAGGCCCGUCUCUUUCCAGGACAUAAGCCGCGUGGGGGGUCCGGAUCGGAACUUGGGGGUUGCGAUCCAUUUCGGAUCGCGCGGCUCGGUGAUGUAAAACCACCACGAUUGCCACCCCUUCAGGGUCUCCACGAAGGAGCCCUCGAGCCAUAGGACGUUGGCCAUCUUGCCCGCCAUGGCGCCUCCGCACUCCGCCUGGCUGCCGCGCACCACCUUGGGCUUGACGUUGAAGGUCUUGAGCCAGAGGCCGAAAUGGGGGCGGAUGCGGAGGAAGGCCUCGCACACGACGAUAAACGCCGAGAUGUUGAGGACGAAGUUUGGGGCCAGAUCAUGGAAACCCAGGCCAUAGUAAAACAUGAGCCCCCGGACAAAUGGGUGGAGUGGAAAACCCAGUCCGCGGAGGAAGUGGGGAAGGAAUACUACCCUCUCACGGGGCCUUGGGGUGGGGAGAAGUUGCCCCUCCUCGGGAAGCCGGUGCGCGUUGUCUUUGGACAAGUAUCAGGCCUUCCUUAGCUUUUUGACAUGGCCCUCCGUGACGGAGGAGACCAUCCACUUGCCUCCCACUCCGGACAUUGCUGGAGAAGGUUGAGGUGGGAAGUACGGGCUUGGGCGCUGGAGCUCGAGUGCGCAGGAGAUGGAUAGGCAAAGGAGGAAGAAGGCAUAGGUAAAAAGGUGGAUCCUUAUCCCCUUAUAUGGGCGGAUGCGGUUGUGCGCCCCACCUGCCUAGUAAAACUCGCUUUCCUCCCAAGCGCCGUGAUAAGUGGCGCGAUUGGGUUACCCACGUCCGUAUUGAUGAGAAUCCCGUAAAAGGGGGUACACGAUCUCUGCUUUGACAAGGCGUGCCAAGGAAACCGCCUCGCAAAACAUGCUGAGGUGGAAAAGUAAAAACGAUUCGAGUGAAGGACUUGGCCGUAGUGUGAUGACGCACUGCGGAAUACGUCGGCAGAUUUGAUUUGUGUCAAUAUUAUUCUCUCUAUGGCAAUAUGUGGAAGCUUAUUUUGCAGAGCCGGACACUACUCUUGGUGUUUACAAUCUUCUAUGAAGGAUUUGGAGGAGGAACCUGCCUUGCAAUGCCGAAGACAAUUUGCGCAUCGGACUCGUCGUCAUUGAAGCCUGGUUCAGGGGCUAUUCAGGGAGUCUUGGAUUAGGGGGUGUUCGGGUAGCCGGACUAUACCUUCAGCCGGACUCCUGGACUAUGAAGAUACAAGAUUGAAGACUUCGUCCCGUGUCCGGAUGGGACUUUCCUUGGCGUGGAAGGCAAGCUUGGCAAUGCGGAUAUUCAAGAUCUCCUACCAUUGUAACCGACUUUAUGUAACCCUAACCCUAUCCGGUGUCUAUAUAAACCGGAGGGUUGUAGUCCGUAUGCAAUCAACUCCAUACACAACAAUCAUACCAUAGGCUAGCUUCUAGGGUUUAGCCUCCUUGAUCUCGUGGUAGAUCUACUCUUGUACUACCCAUAUCAUCAAUAUUAAUCAAGCAGGAGUAGGGUAUUACCUCCAUCGAGAGGGCCCGAACCUGGGUAAA
rnacentral:lncRNA from 1 species